rnacentral:rRNA from 1 species
GGUAAUGCCGGAUGCUCCAGUUGGAUGCAUGUUCUUCUGGGAAAGAUUCAUCGGUAUGGGAUGGGGUCGCGUCCUAUCAGCUUGAUGGCGGGGUAACGGCCCACCAUGGCUUCGACGGGUAGCCGGCCUGAGAGGGCGACCGGCCACAUUGGGACUGAGAUACGGCCCAGACUCCUACGGGAGGCAGCAGUGGGGAAUAUUGCACAAUGGGCGCAAGCCUGAUGCAGCGACGCCGCGUGCGGGAUGACGGCCUUCGGGUUGUAAACCGCUUUUGACUGGGAGCAAGCCCUUCGGGGUGAGUGUACCUUUCGAAUAAGCACCGGCUAACUACGUGCCAGCAGCCGCGGUAAUACGUAGGGUGCAAGCGUUAUCCGGAAUUAUUGGGCGUAAAGGGCUCGUAGGCGGUUCGUCGCGUCCGGUGUGAAAGUCCAUCGCUUAACGGUGGAUCCGCGCCGGGUACGGGCGGGCUUGAGUGCGGUAGGGGAGACUGGAAUUCCCGGUGUAACGGUGGAAUGUGU